UACGAAAGGUGCAAGCGUUACUCGGAAUCACUGGGCGUAAAGCGCGCGUAGGCGGUCUUGUAUGUCGAUUGUGAAAGCCCCGGGCUCAACCUGGGAACAGCAGUCGAAACUGCAUGACUUGAAUGUUGGAGAGGGUGGGGGAAUACCUAGUGGAGAAGUGAAAUUCGUAGAGAUUAGGUGGAACACCAGAGGCGAAGGCGCCUGCCUGGCCAAACAUUGACGCUAAGGCGCGAAAGCGUGGGGAGCAAACAGG
rnacentral:rRNA from 1 species